CACCGGCCGGGGUGUCCCCUGUCCCCCAGCCCAGGCUUGGUCCCUGCAGUGCUGCCCCCACCGCUCCCCUCCGGUGCUCAAGACCCGCGGGGGAUGCUCACCCUCCCUCCCCGUGGGUCGCCGCCGCCGGGCUCGGACCGCCAGCCGUGGGUGUCGGUGCUGUGCACACGAGUCCCGGGGCUGCAGCUCAGCUCUGAGCCAGUCGAUCUUCUUCUUCCUAACCCAUUUGACUCUUCACUUCUUGUCUUCUCAUACGUUACAACCCAAUUUGGUCUUUCUGGAUGUGAAAAGGUCUUCUUGUUUGUUACCAUCACUUCUGUCUUCCUCACAAACAAACCUGCAGCAGACCAAAGAUACCUCACAAAUUGAAAACUUGGAAGUCAGAUUUCGUCCCCACCACAAAUCAGUUACUGUAUGAGUAAUGACAUCAGCAUUGCAUGCUCUAGCUGGUUGCAGUAAAUCGUGAUAUAUUUCCAAGAAAUAAAGACCCUUUUGCUGAAGGAAACAUAGAUCGGUCACGACCUGCACAUUGCCUUUUCUUUUUUUGACAGCACAAGGGAAAAUGCUUGCAGUUAACCCAUUCUCAGUGGGAUUCCUGCAUGUCCUUUUUGCUGGCUUUGAGCUUCAGCGUGAAAAUUGUCCGGACCUUUUCUAAAGACAAGAAAUAUUUGUAGCUACAGUUUAUGGUUUAAAAUAAACCAUAAAUUACCACCCA